AGGUUAGCGGUACUCCCAGGGUAGAGGUGAAAUUCUGUAUCCUGGGAGGACCACCUGUGCGAAAGGCGGCUAACUGGAACGAACCUGACGUGAGGGGACGAAAGCUAGGGGCNCGAACCGGANNANAUACGCGGGUAGCCCUAGCCGUAAACGAUGCGGACUUGGUGUUGGGAUGGCUUUGAGCCGCUCCGGUGCCGAAGGGAAGCUGUUAAGUCCGCCGCCUGGGAAGUACGGUCGCAAGACUGAAACUUAAAGGAAUUGGCGGGGGAGCAACACCAAAACGCGGAGCUGCGGUUUAAUUGGAUUCAACACCGGGAAUCGGUCCAGGAGCGACAGCUGUAUGAGUACCAGGCUGAUGACCUUGUUUGACUAGCUGAGAGGAGGUGCAUGGCCGCCGUCAGCUCGUACCGUGAGGCGUCCUGUGUAAGUCAGGCAACGAGCGAGACCCAA
rnacentral:rRNA from 1 species